rnacentral:tRNA from 1 species
GCUUCCCUGGCUCAGUUGGUAGAGCAACGCNNCGCAUUCGUAAUGCGUAGGUCGUGGGUUCGAGUCCCAUGGGGAGCU